AGCAGCCGCGGUAAUUCCAGCUCCAAUAGCGUAUAUUAAAGUUGUUGCAGUUAAAAGCUCGUAGUUGAAUUUCGGGAUCAAUAUGUCGGUCGUGCCUUCGGUACGUACUGGUAUCAUUGGUCUCUCCUUUCUGACGAACCAUGAUGUCAUUAAUUUGGUGUUAUGGGGAGUUAGGACUGUUACUUUGAAAAAUUGAGUGUUUAAAGCAGGCUUUAGCUUGAAUACAUUAGCAUGGAAUAAUGAAAUAGGACGUUCGAACCUAUUUUGUUGGUUUCUAGGAUCAACGUAAUGAUUAAUAGGGAUAGUUGGGGGCAUUAGUAUUCAAUUGUCAGAGGUGAAAUUCUUGGAUUUAUUGAAGACUAACUACUGCGAAAGCAUUUGCCAAGGAUGUUUUCAUUAAUCAAGAACGAAAGUUAGGGAUCGAAGACGAUCAGAUACCGUCGUAGUCUUAACCAUAAACUAUGCCGACUAGGGAUCGGAUGAUGUUAAUUUUUAAUGACUCAUUCGGCGCCUUAAC
rnacentral:misc_RNA from 1 species